GGAGAUAGGAGGUUAAAAAUUAUUGAAGGUGGUGUUUUACUGCCAAUUGAAGAUCAAUUUCAUCUGUUAUAUGGUUUAAUGGUAGGAACAAAAUACCUUUGCAUGCACUGUCUACCAUAUUGA